rnacentral:lncRNA from 7 species
UUAGUGCCUCUGUAGGAUGCUGUUUUCUUGUCCUGCUAUGGGUGUUUCAGUACCAACCUAACCUGCAGGUGGGCUGCCCAGUCUGACUUUAGAUGUGUUCUCCUGCUUUUUAUGGGUACAGAUGUUCUCUGGAGUACAAAUUGUACUUCUCCAGCAUGCUGAAGAGAAAAGUUUCUGGUCUCUGGAUUUCCAUUGUGAGUGCUCUCCCUGCUCAUCUGGGAGGCAUUAAAGCCCUUCCCUGACCUACGUGCUGUGGUCAAUGCAUAAAGCCUCUUGUGACCAACCCACUGGUUCCUAAUGCCUCAGGACAUGCCAGAAAACAAAAAGGCGUGUAGGAGAAAUAUCUCCUGGGAGUUGUGUAGAAAUGCUGAGCUGGAAGCUGUGAGCUGCUGCAAGUUCUCCUGCAUGCCUUGUUUGCAGUCUGGGAACUUCUGCUGUGCUGCUGGCACAGGGACUUACCACCAUGUGAUACUGCCUCAGAAUAUCUUCUGAAAGCACAGCUUUCUCCUCACCUGUUCUUGGAGUCUGUCAGGCACCUUGUCAUGGUGUAAGGUUGGCCCCAGAACACUUGCUCUUGUUUGGAGAAAUAAGCAGAACACCCUGCUCUCUGUAGUAUUGUCUUUGCCAUGAUUUCAGAUGGGUUGUUGUAUUCUAUCUCAUGCUACAGUAGAUAUUCACAGUGAUUUGCCAUAGAAUAAGAGGCAUCUUACCUCCAGAAAGUUCAGAGUAGUGCACAGAUCCUUCCUUGCUCUUAUUCUGAGCCUUGUUCUUUGGUGGGUGUUCUUCACCUUCCUGAUUUCUGAAGGAGAAGGCAAAAGUAUGAAAAUUGACUCCAAUCUUACUGCUGUGUGAUAUGAACAAAUUACUUCUCUUGGGAAUGUCUGCAGGUUGAUGUAGUGAAGAAUGACCUGUGAUAACAUGGGAGUAUAUAUUUGUAAGUCACACUAUGGACUUAACAAGAUUUAUGCUGCUUUAAACCUUGAGGAAUUCUGGUGGUUUCAUGGAAAAACUUGCCUGAGUUAAAUUUUAAGUUGUAGUCAGGUCUUAGAGAGAGUUGUCCCUGUUAGGCUACCUCUGAAAAUGCUCUCUAAGCUCUAACAUUAGGCAGGGGUAUUGAAAGAAACAUGGAGUAAAUAUAUUUAAUUAUCUUGGCAUGGUCCUGCUUCUGUGAAGGGAUCCAGGUCUCUCCAAACAAUUUGCCAUGUGUACAUGCUGAUCUAUGUCUGAGAUCUGCUCUAGAGUAAGCUGAACACCUCUGUAUGGGCAGAGGCAGCAGACUUUUCUCAUUGUCUUACAACUGUGAACAAGAGCAUCAGAACCUAUGACUGUGAGCCAGGCUGCAACAGCUCUUCCCAGGAUACUGGAGACAGAAACAGCAAAACCCUUGUGAAAUUACCUUGUCUGUGGUGUCUAUGUGAAAGCACAUCAGCUGUUAGCAGAAAGCAUCAAAUUUAUAUAAUGCUUUCCAGCACACUGAUCAUGAGUGCUAAAACUGUAUGCUAUGUAUAUAACACAGCAGUUAGCUGAGAAGCUGCUCUCAUCAGGGGCUGCAUUAUUUCCUUAAAUAAACUCUGGAAACUUCAGUGUCACAAAAAACAAUGUGAGGUUCUUUAUCUGGAUUGUUCCCACUAAUGUCCUUUGCAGCUGUGGGUAAACUGUGAAUCACAAAGGAGGAAAAGUAUGAUGGUGGAGAGCAGGCUCUCCUGCCCAGGAUUGU